GGGUUGUGCGAAUAGGAUAGGAGGAAGCAAUUGUAUGGUUAAGAAUAGGAAAGAAGAAAAGAAAGGUGACGAAUGAGGCGGUGGAAGAGAAAUGGCAGUGGGGUUGAGAAACCUGAGAUGGAUGAGUUUGGUAUUGGGAGUAUUGAACAUCUUGGUGGUGCUGAUGGGUGCCUUCCUCAUUUUCCGAACUCACCGCUUCUGCGAUCGCCGCUUCUUGCACCCUUUCCUCGCUGUUUCUGUCACCGCUCUUCUUAGGGUUCUUGUCAUGUUUCAUUCCGCCAUUGCACAAGAAGCCGCUGCCACCCUCAUUCUUGACGACUCCAACGACCUACUCACGCGCCUUCAAAGACGGGCCAGGUAUAAGAAAUGGCUCUGGUGGAGUCGCUGUUCCGCGGUCGUUAUAGUGCUCCAGUUUUGCUCUGCAACUUUCCUUGUACUCAAGUCUGCUGACUAUUUCUCUACACACGGUUGUCUUUUAGGUAGAAUCCAAAUGGGACCACGACUUACUGUUUUUCUUCAUGAUCCUCGUCUCUUUCCUUGCUAUUAUGCAGUGCUUUGCCGGCUCUGAUGUUCUCAAAUGGAGAUCUUUCUAUGAAACCCAUGAUAAUGCUUGGAAAUGCCAUUAUAGUGAGGUCUUUGACAAUGGCAUACGCGAGACCUUAUGUUGUCUUGGCCGCGUCAAAUACUUGCGUGCAUUGGAAGAAGAUGAAGUCUAUUCGGUUGCACGAUUAUUAGGCGAUCUUGUUGCUUAUCGUGCUUCUGGAACUGGCCACAUGGAACUCUUGGCAGCUUUAGCUUUGCUUCAAAGCCAUGGGAAAUCUUCAGAAUCCUAUGAAGAAUCCAUUGAACUGCCAGAGAUGCAAAUUAGGGAGGCUGCAGCUCUUCAUAAAUUUGCUGAAGCUGCAUACACAGGCCCCUUACUUGAUGUUGGACGAAAUCCCUUUAUCUUUCCUUGUGCAUGGCUGUAUAGACAAGGGAUUCUGUCUCCUUGGACACGCAAUAGACGACCUGCAUUGGAUGGUGACAACUGGUGGCGAGGUCAUGCUGCGGCCUUUCUAAAUUAUGUCGAUUUGCCUCCAGAAGUGCUCAGACAUGGGCGAGUCAGCCAGGUGAAAGGAUUUAAAUACCCAAAUCUGGUCUACAAUGCUUUGGUUUCUUCAAGGGGCUAAUUUACUGUGUAAUGUAAACCGACUAACUGCUGCCUUUUUUAUUUGGCUAAUCAGUAUAGGUGUCCGAAUAUUUUAAUUCCAUUUGAUAGUUAAUUUUAAAAGUGGGGAAACUCAGAUCUUUUCUACUGGAGAUGAUAAUAAACAUGAUUUGUGCAUGAUAUUAUGAAUAUUUCAGUUUUUAUAUUAUACUGGCCAAUUUUAUAUGCAGUUAAAGGGCUUGUUUUUUGUUUGAUACUCAUGCCAGGUCAAGUGUCAAGCUGCAUAUUUUAUCGUGGUUCUACAUCAUCUACAAUCUGUAGUAAUUGCUAUACGUGGAACUGAAACUCCAGAGGACCUAAUAACUGAUGGGUUAUGCAAGGAAUGCACCCUUUCUGCAGAUGAUUUGGCUGGCUUGAUUAACUGCAACUACAUUCCUUCUGAUAUAAAGAAAAAGGUAACUUCAACAUUCCCCCACUAUGGGCAUUCAGGCAUAGUUGAGGCUUCACGAGAGCUUUUUAUGCAGAUUGAAGGAAAUCCUGAAGAACCUGACUCGGAAUCAUAUGGGCUUCUUUCUAAUUUACUGGGAUUUGGUUGUGAAUGCUUUGGGUAUAAUGUCCGUAUAGUGGGGCAUUCACUUGGGGGUGCUAUAGCUGCAUUGCUUGGACUGCAAGUACGGUAUUUCUUCCUUAAAAAGGAUUAUUUUCUAAUUUUGCUUCUUUAGUAAACACGACUUCCAUAUUUUGAUUGCAUCUAGAACUAGGUACUGAUUAAAAGGCUAUUCUGAAAAAAUUGUAUACAGAGAACAAAUAAUCCCUGCUUCCUUAGAAAAUGCAGAAUACAUGAGAGACUUGACUCAACAAAAUAUAUAUGCAUCUCAAUUGUAUUAGGUUUGUAACUUCUGAGCCAAAAAUCUAGGGUGAAACCUAUAAAUCAGGUGCAACUUAUAAGUCAAAUAUUAUAUGCAGCAUACAACUAUACUUUCAGCAUUUAAAGAGAGAACUUUUUCAUAUAAGUUCAAUGCUUACUUUUUCAUCACUGAAAUUUAACACGGUUACGGAAGUGAUUUUGGACAUCAUUUUCCUGCCUUUUUUUGGUUUGUUUACAUCCUACAUAGCAUUUUAAGCAUGUGAUUUUAUUUUUAAAUAAAUUGCUGAGCUUUUCCACAGCUUUAUAACCGCUACCCUAAUCUGCAUGUUUACUCAUAUGGGCCACUCCCAUGUCUGGAUUUAGUUGUGGCAAAUGCAUGUUCAGAAUUUGUAACAAGGUAAUUGUACUAGUAAAAUUUUUUAUUGUGGUUGAUGCUCUGUUGGUAACAUUUUCAGUUUCCUUUCUGUUUGCUUUCAUUCUUUAUGAUGCAGUAUUAUAUUUGGAAAUGAAUUUUCAUCACGUCUUUCAAUUGGAUCUGUUAUGCGACUAAGGGCAGCUGCAAUCACAUCACUAUCACAAGAUCCUAAAACAGAUAGUGCCAUGAUCUUCAGACUUGCUCGUCGGUUUCUAUAUUUAAGCAAAUAUCAGAGGAAUAAGCCCGAGGCCUCAGGGACCAUUGUCCCGGAAGAUCUGAACCAUCAAAUCUGUGGAAGCCAUUGUGAGGCUGAUAAUAAAGGAAGCAACAAACAAGAGGUUCCAGAAGUUCCUCUCUGGGCUGAGACUCAGUCCAUUAAAAGGGAUCUUCUUGUUCCAGCUAACUGUGGUGAAUAUAUGAACCCUUUUGAUGAUAGUGAAGAUUGCCUCAAUAACAAGCAUGAAGAAUUUUCGCUCUGGUCUGACACUAGGGCAAGGGACCAUAUUGUUGAAAUUGAUAAUGCUGAAUUUACAAAUCCUUUUGCUAUAGAUGCACGCUCAAUUGAUGAUCCUGUGUCUCAGUUCAUAGAUACUGUUCCAAAUUCUGAAAAUCCAUCUGCUGAUGAUCCCCCGGAGAUGUAUCUGCCAGGACUUGUAAUCCAUGUUGUACCAGAGCAGAAAAGCCCUCAGCCUCAAACUGAUCUUCAGACGUCAUGGAGAAUGCAGGAGAGAAGAAAAUGUUAUAGAGCUUACUUAGCAAAUAGAGAAAGCUUCAAAGAUAUUAUUGUUUCACCAUCCAUGUUCCUUGACCAUCUCCCUUGGAGAUGUCAUGAUGCCUUGCAGAAGAUAUUAAAAGCUCAAUUUGCUAAUGAUCAAGUUGGACAAGUUUAGUGCGUAUUUUGGCAUUGAACGUGACAUGAACUGUGGAUUAAUUUUUUUUGUGAGAUGAGGAACUAUGACAAAGAAUGAUCCUUUUGAGUUUUGACUUGUUCCCUCUCCUAUGAAGAGUGUAUUACCAUUAAUAUACACUAAGGUGAGAAUAUUUUAUUAUCAUAAGAAAUGAGAACAGUAAAUAUAAAUCAUUAGAUAAUAUUUGAAUGAUUAAGAU